rnacentral:rRNA from 1 species
CCUACGGGUGGCAGCAGUGAGGAAUAUUGGUCAAUGGGCGAGAGCCUGAACCAGCCAAGUCGCGUGAAGGAUGAAGGAUCUAUGGUUUGUAAACUUCUGUUAUAGGGGAAUAAAGUGAGGAACGUGUGCGUUUUUGUAUGUACCAUAUGAAUAAGCAUCGGCUAACUCCGUGCCAGCAGCCGCGGUAAUACGGAGGAGGCGAGCGUUAUCCGGAUUUAGUGGGGUUAAAGGGUGCGUAGGUGGUUAAUUAAGUAAGCGGUGAAAGUUUGUGGCUCAACCCUAAAAUUGCCGUUGAAACUGGUUGCCUUGAGUAUAUUUGAGGUCGGCGGACUGCGUGGUGUCGCGGUGA